AAUCAACGCUGGCGGCGUGCCUCAGACAUGCAAGUCGAACGAUUAAAGCUCUCUUCGGAGAGUGUAUAGAGUGGCGCACGGGUGAGUAACACGUAAGUAAUCUACCCUCGAGUGGGGAAUAACAACCGGAAACGGUUGCUAAUACCGCAUAAUGCAGCGGCACCGCAAGGUGACAGUUGUUAAAGAUUUAUCGCUUGAGGAGGAGCUUGCGGCAGAUUAGCUAGUUGGUAGGGUAACGGCUUACCAAGGCUACGAUCUGUAACCGGUCUAAGAGGACGGUCGGUCACACUGACACUGAAUAACGGGUCAGACUCCUACGGGAGGCAGCAGUCGGGAAUUUUGGGCAAUGGGCGAAAGCCUGACCCAGCAACGCCGCGUGAAGGAUGAAGUAUUUCGGUAUGUAAACUUCGAAAGAAUAGGAAGAAUUAAUGACGGUACUAUUUAUAAGGUACCGGCUAACUACGUGCCAGCAGCCGCGGUAAAG
rnacentral:rRNA from 1 species